GCUGGGAUAGCUCAGUUGGUAGAGCGUGAGAAUAUUAAUCUCAGGGUCAUGGGUUCAAGCCCCACAUUGGGCA